CUUACCGGGUCCGGACACACUGAGGAUUGACAGGCAAUAUUAAUUUUUAUUCGUAAAAAUUAUGUUAAAUAUGCUAGUCCUUUCAUGAUUAUGUGAUAGGUGGUGCAUGGCCGUUCUUAGUUCGUGGAGUGAUCUGUCUGCUUAAUUGCGUUUCACUAAGGGCCUAUAAAUUUACGUGUGUUGCGGCACUUUGACCCCUCUUUUUAAGAGCGCGCGUCUUAGUUUGCUUUGCUCGCACAAUUAGGUCCUGAAAGCAACGAACGUGACCGCAACCUCUUGUUGCCUUUAUACCAAACGCGUUUAAAGAUUUUUAAUUUUUUUCGCGAAAAAAGGCUUUUUAAACUAGAGGGACCGCUGUUACUUUCUUAAACCAGAGGAAGGUUGCGGCAAUAACAGGUCUGUGAUGCCCUUAGAUGUUCCGGGCUGCACACGUGCUACAAUGAUUAUUGCAGUGAGCAUCUCAUUUUUUACACACCGCAUGCGCGAGUCCGCUUAUUCUGUCUUUCGGGACUGUUUUAAGCGUGUAUCUCUGCGCGCGGUAAAGCCUGCUUCGAAAGU
rnacentral:rRNA from 1 species